UAACGUCGUCUCCAAGAGUUAAUCACGGCCCUUGAUGAUUGAUCCAACGGACAGGAACGUCCUAUAUUAAGAGUAUUUAAUGGUUGAAUCAUAAACCCCACCCCUGUUUUAUCGUCUCAAACACACCUUUCAUAGACCUUGUGUAAUGCCGCCCGUCGCCGCCAGCCGGAAAUCGUUGCCGCCGGCGGCCCAUAUCCAAACCAUACCAAAAUAAUACCCUAGAACCCUCUCUCUCUCCUCUUUCCAACCCCCAACUUAGUUUUUCUCGAAUCCCUCCCUAGGCCCUCGAAUCUUGAAUCGAAAUAUUCUGGCCAAGACACAACGUUGUCCAAAUCCGACCAAAUUUACACCACUGAAUUUCCUCAACUCCCUCAACCCAGAUCCAGAAUCAUUUUCCCUCAAAUAUCAGUUGAAUGUCUCGAAUAUUAAAUCAAAGGUUGGCCGGAAACCCUAAGUUCUCUGAAAUUUACCAAUUUGGUAAUAUACAGUCUCGCUAUUCUCCUCGUGAAGAAUCUACCCCUGGCGAGUUUCAAAUAUCACCAAGACCAUUCAAAUUUUGAAUCAAAUUUCAUGUCGUGAGUCCCACUAUGUUUUUUUUUUUUUUUUUUUUUUUUUUUUUUUUUUGCUUUCUGUUUUUUUUUUUUUUUUUUUUCUUUUUAAUCAAAUUUCAUGUCGUGAGUCCCACUAUGUUUUUUUUUUUUUUUUUUUUUAUUUCUUCUUCUUUGCUUUCAGUUUCUUUUUUUUUUUGUUUACUGUUAUUGUUUGUUCUCAUUUGAAAUUCUUGUGUUAGUUUUGUGGAUUCAAGAGUUCGAUUUAGGAUUAGAUUGUAUUAUUUCUCAUGUUCCUUAUCUGUUGUUCAAAUGAGUAUUUAACUACGGUAUUCUGUUUUUAUUUGCUUGUUUUUCACCUCUUUUGAUCAAUAUUUGGCGUUGGAUCGUUAAGGUAAUUAUGUUCAAACUGCACUUAAUCAUGGGAGGAAUAGCUAAAAGCAUUUUGGCAGUUUGAUUAGUUGCUUCAUGUUAAGUGGCCAUAUACAAGUGUAGUCUAUUUUAAUAAGUUUGAUCAUGUGUUUUAACCAAUUAGUCGCUACAUUCUAAUUUAGGAUUCGUGAUCAGUUUAACUUGUUCAGUUAGGAGUUUUUGUUUGAUUUUGAAUGGCUGAUUGAAGUUUUGUUUGUGUAAUCUUAGUUAUUUAAGCUGUGUGGUAAUAGUUGAUGGUGUUCUUAGUUAGUUUAAAAGAGGGCUGAGGUUAAUUGAGGUAAAUCAUUAUAUUUUAGAUAAAUAAUGGGUAGUUUGGGCAUUUCUGGCCAGAGCAUAUGUAGUAACUGAAAAUGGAAUAUUCUAGGACUUUCUAGAAGAGGAUUUAAGCUAAAAUUCAUAAAAGAAUAGGGGUAAUAACUUAGGCAACAAAUCAAUAACUAGAGGACUAACUGAAAUAAGUGAGGGACUAAUGUGUAAAAAUGAGACAUCUGAAACUGCGCCCGUUGUGCCUUGCCUUGAAUAAUAAGUUUUUGACCUCUAAAAAUUUCCCCCAAGUGCUCUUUAGUUUUCAGAUUCAGAUUUGAAAUUCAAAGUUCAAAACCCCCCAAAAGACCAUAAAAAACCAAAAACUCAAAAUUUACUGUUUCAUCGCAUAUUCUUAGAUCACUUUGAAUUUUCUUUCGAAAUCUAAGUAGUUUGAGCUAGCUGGUAGUUAAAUGGUUGACUUUGGCUAGUGUGGUACUGUUAGAAAUUGAUUUAUGCAUUUCAUGAUUGGUAUUCCUAUUUUUGGAGUAUUUCGAGUCCAUCUGAGUGUAUUUCCAGUGAUCUAUAGAAAUUGAUUUUGCUGUGUUGAUUGAUCAUCCCUUUAUUCUAUUUCAAAAUCCAGGUACACUAGUUGUAAACUUUCAUGAAAUACUAGCUCAAUUUCCUUAUGUAUUUUGUUACAUUUAUAACUUGUGUGUAGUGGUGAUCAUGUGUUAGGUAUGGUUAACAAAUAGUUUAUUAAUACUUAAUUGUUAGUUUAGAUUGAUUGGACUGUUUGAAAUAUUAAUGAGCAUGGGAUUGUGUUUGGUGGUUAUUUAAUAAUCAUGUUGGAUUUAGAUUUAAAUUUGAAUAGCUAAGGCCAGCAUUAGAGUAAAUUAAUUUAGAUUCGUUAGUAAACUAAAGACAAUAUUAUUUAGUUUUGAAAUAAUACAUGCCAUCUUUGUGUGUUGAAGGGCUCUCUCAUUUCCCAUCCUAUAUCAAUGAUUCAAAACGCUCGGAAUGGUCUUUAGGUGUGCCUUUUAAAUAAUAAAUGAGAUGAGCCUCGCCAAUGAAAUGCAUGAUUGCGGGGCUCUCAAUAAAUAUUAUAUUAAAAUACUUAAAUUUCGGGAUGGUUGUUUAGCGAAUUCCACGGCCCUCCCCAAAGAUAAUAACGUGAUAGUCUCUUUAGGAAUUUUUUAAAAUUUACUUUCCUAAACUCGGGUGCACAUUUAUGUGACCUAAAUUCAAAUUUCAAUAAAAUCGAAAGGUGUUAAUGACCACGAGUGCAUUGAUGUAACGUGGUUCGAGACGCAUUUUCACGAUGUUGCAAUUCUCAUUAAAAAAUUAUAAAAGCGGUUUAUAAUUAAAAUGAACAUGAGCUAAAACAUGUUUUUGAAAUUAGAUAAAUCCAAAUAUGAUAGUUAAGCGACCGUGCUAGAACCAUGGAACCCGGGAAUGCCUAAUACAUUCUCCCGGAUUAACAAAAUUCCUUUCUUGAAUUUCUGAUUCGCGAACUGUUAACAGAGUAAUUAUUUUCCUCGGUUUGGGAUUCAAUUAGUGACUUAGGACACACUAAUUUCUCAAGUGGUGACUCUGAAAUUUUAAUAACAAAUCUUGUUACGAUUGUCCUUUGAUUGGAAAAGGCCUCUACGCCCUUGUGGGUGUAGUGAAAAAAGGAGGUGUGAUAUUCGACAGGGUCACUCUCUUUUUCCUCAGCCGCAGCACUCCGGUAAAUGCUAUGAGUGUGGUGAGUAUGGUCAUGUCAAGAGGGCUUGUACGAGGUUGGCGGGGACUCAGUCGCAACAGCAGGGUUCUCGUGUAUGGUUCAUGCACCAGGUGUUCCACAGGCCGUCCAGCCAGCUAGAGGUUGGGGUAAAGAUGCUAGAGGUGGAGGUAUAUGAUUUAUAGGUGGAGCUCAGACCGCUAGAUGUGGAGGCCAGUGAGUGGAAGGCCGUCCUAGAGAUGUAGUCCAGGGUGUUGGGGCCCAGCCCCGAUGUUAUGCUCUUCCAGCCAGGUCAGAGGCCGAGGCGUUAGAUGCGGUUAUCACAUGCACUGUUCUGGUUUGUGAUAGAAAUGCUUCAGUGUUAUUUGAUCCAUGGUCUACAUACUCGUAUGUGCCAUCUUAUUUUGCACCGUAUCUGGUCAUGCCUAGUGAUUCAUUGAGUGUUCCUAUUUAUGUGUCUACACCGGUGGGUGAUUCUAUUAUGGUAGAACGAGUCAAUCGUUCCUGUGUUGUGGUGAUUGGGGGUCCCAAGACUCAUUUAGAUUUGUUGCUUUUAGACGUCGUCGAUUUUGAUAUUAUAUUAGGGAUGGACUAGUUAUCACCUUACCACGCUAUCUUGGACUAUCAUGCCAAGACUGUGACCUUAGCCUUAUUGGGUUUGCCUCAUUUAGAGUGGAGAAGGACCCCUGGUCAUUCUACCCACAGUGUUAUGUCGUAUGUGAAGGCUCAACUUAUGCUCGAGAAGCGUUGUUUGGCCUAUCUACCGUAAAUUCGUGUUUCUAGUACUGGGGUUCCUUCCAGUGAUUCUCUGUAUGUUGUUCGUGAGUUCCUUGAGCUAUUUCCUUCAGAACUGCCGGGUAUGCCGCCCGAUAGGGAUAUUGACUUCUGCAUUGAUUUGGCACUGGGCACUUAGCCAUUUCUAUUCUGUCGUAUCGUAUGGCCCCGCCAGAGUUGAAAGAGUUGAAGGAGCAGUUUAAUGACUUGCUUGAGAAGGGUUUCAUUAGACCAAGUGUUUUUCCUUGGGGCGCACCGGUGUUGUUUGUUAAGAAGAAGGACGAUCGUUGAUAAUGUUUAUUGAUUACCGGCAUUUGAACUAUGUUAUAAUCAAGAAUAAGUAUCCAUUGCCGAGGAUUGAUGAUUUAUUCGAUCAACUUCAGGGUGCCAAGGUAUUUUCAAAGAUUGACUUGAGAUCUGGCUACCAUCAGUGACUAUGUGCCCAUCUUUUGUGAGUUUCCUCAUAUUUUCCCCCGACAGGGAUAUUGACUUUUGCAUAGAUUUGGCUCCGGCACUCAACCAUUUUUAUUCCUCUGUAUUGUAUGGGCCCGUCUGAGUUGAAAGAGCUAAAGGAAUAAUUACAUGAUUUGCUUGAGAAGGGUUUCAUUAGAUCCAGUGUUUCGCCUUGAGGUAUGCUGGUGUUAUUUGUCAAGAAAAAGGAUUGGUCAAUGGGAAUGUGUAUCGAUUACCGACAAUUGAACAAGGUUAUAGUCAAUAAUAAUUAUCCGAUGCCGACGAUUGACAAUUUGUUCGACCAGAUUCAGGGAGCCAAGGUAUUCUUCAAAAUUGACUUGUGAUUUGGCUACCAUCAGUUGAGGAUUAGGGCAUGUGAUGUCCCUAAGACAACUUUCCGCACUCGGUACGGUCAUUAUGAGUUCUUGGUUAUGUCAUUGAGAUUGAAAAAUGCCCUAACAACUUUUGUGGAUUUGAUGAAUCGAGUGUUCAUGCCUUAUUUGGACUCAUUCGUGAUAGUCUUCAUUGAUUAUAUUUUUAUUUAUUCCCGCAUCUAGGAUAAGCAUGAGCAGCAUCUUAGAGUGGUUCUUCGGACUCUGAGGGAUACUUAGUUAUAUGCUAAGUUCUCGAAGUGUGAGUUCUGGGUGCGUUCAGUUGCAUUACUGGGUCAUACUGUAUUAGAGGAUAUUCAUGUUGAUCCGAAGAAGAUUAAGGCUGUCAAAAACUGGCUUAGACCAGCAUCAGCUACAGAGAUUUGGAUUUUCUUGGGAUUGGCAGGCUACUAUCGUCAUUUCGUGGAGGGGUUCUCAACUAUCGCAGCCCCGAUGACCAGGUUGACCCAGAAUGGUGCCUAGUUCAGAUGGUCGGAUGAGUGUGAGGCGAGCUUUCAGAAGCUCAAGACAGCUCUGACUAUGGCAUCGGUGUGUGUUUUGCCUAUAGGUUCAGGGCCUUAUAUAGUUUAUUGUGAUGCAUCUCUUAUUGGGCUUGGUGCAGUGUCAUGCAAGAUGGCAAGGUCAUUGCCUAUUCUUCACGUCAGUUGAAGAUUAUUGAGAAGAAAUAUCCGAUUCAUGAUUUAUAGUUGGCAGCUAUUGUUCACGCAUUGAGGAUUUGGAGGCAUUAUCUGUAAGGCAUGGCAUGUGAGGUGUUCAGGGAUCAUAAGAGUUUUCAGUAUUUGUUCAAGAAAAAGAGUUCAAUUUGAGGUAGAGCAGGUGAUUGGAGUCGUUGAAUGAUUAUGAUAUCACUAUUUGAUAUCAUCUGGGAAAAGCUAAUGUGGUGGCUGAUGUUUUGAGUAGGAAGUCAGCCAGUAUGGGUAGUCUUGCUUAUAUUUCGAUCGGUGAGAGACCGCUUGCUUCAGAUGUUCAAGCCUUGGCCAAUCAGUUUGUGAGAUUAGAUGGUUCUGAUCCAAUCGUGUGUUAGCUUUCACGAUCGUUCGUUCUUCUUUAUUGGAGCAUAUCCAUGAGCGGCAGUAUGAUGAUCCCUAUUUAUGUGUCCUUAGAGACAUGGUGCAGCGCGGCGGUACCAAUUAGGUUAUCUUAGAUGAUGAUGGAGUUUUGAGAUUGCAGGGUUGAGUUUAUGUGCCUAAUGUGGAUGUGCUUCGAGAUUUGAUCUAAGAGGAGGCCCAUAGCUCCUGGUACUCUAUUCAUUUAGGUGCCGCGAAGAUGUACCAGGAUUUGCGGCAGGAUUAUUGGUGGCGUAGAAUGAAGAAGGAUCUGUUGCAUAUGUGGCUCGGUGUUUGAAUUGUUAGUAGGUUAAGUACGAGCAUUAGGCCUAGUGGUUUAUUUCAGAGGAUUGAGUUUCCUGAGUGGAAGUGCGAGAGGCUCACUAUGGAUUUCAUUGCUGGACUCCCCCAGAAGAAGUUCAACGCAGUAUGGGUCAUUGUUGAUAGGCUGACCAAGUCAGUGCAUUUCAUCCCUAUAGUAGUCUCCUAUUCAUCCAAGAGGUUAGCUGAGAUCUAUAUUCGGGAGAUUGUCCCUCCUUAUAGUGUGCCCAUGUCUCCUAUUUCGGAUUGAGGUAAGUAGUUUACCUCACUCUUCUUGAGAGUUGUUCAGCGAGAGUUGGGCACUCGGGUUAAGUUGAGCAUAACAUUUCAUCCCCGGACGGAUAGCCAGAAAGUAGUGUAAAUAUUCGAAGAUACAAAAACAAUUUUUCAUGGCGAGAAUGAACAAUCCGGGCAUGAUUCAUUUGAUCUUUUGACCUUACAAUGAAUCCUAUUAUUCAAGUCUUGUCUUUUGAUGUCGAGUAAAAUUGUCUAUGAAUUUUCUGAACUCAGAUCUUCGAAACUUGAUUCAGGGUAUGAUAGUUUCCUAGUACUUGAGGAUGGAUUUUGAGGGCUUGAGCACUAAUGAUCUAAAUGCGGGCAGUCCCCAGUCCCUGGUGCUUGACUAGUAUUCGAAACUAGAGUAACAUGCUUAGUGUUGCCUUGUUAUAAAUGUUGCCGUAAAACUCACUUCUGGAAAAAGCUGAUCAAAGGAAAAAAAGAGCGUAACACGUGCUUUCAGACCUAAUUCAUGGCUUGACUUUGAUUGAGUACACGGUUAAGUUCAAAGGAUAAUGCACUUUAAAGAAAUUUUAGUAUUCAUACCUCAAUUGUAGUACCGCUUUAAGUGUGCCAUAUUCCAAUCUAUUUUGUAGCUACAUGCCAUUUUUGGAUUCAAGCUGGUACGAGCUUUUUUUGGGUUAUAUAGUUGACUCUAUAUGGUCCUUCCCAGUUCAUGUCUAGUUUUCCGUCAUUCGUGUCAUUGGUAUGUAGUGUGACUUUCUUUAAUACUAAGUCCCCGACUUGGAAGUGUCAAAGGUUUUCCCUUCGGUUGUAAUAUCUUUUGCAUCCCCUACUUUUGAGCUGCUAACCCGACCAGGUCGGCUUUUCUUCUUUCAUCCGCUAAAUUAGAAUUGUGGUCAUACUCUCGUCAUUAUAUGUUUUCGUAGCUUAUAGGAACCUUAUACUUGGUUCUCCCACUUCAACUGGAAUCAAAGCUUCAGCGCCGUAGAAUGGAGUUGUGUCUCAUGGUACUUGACCUUGAGUUGUAUGAUAUGCCCAUAGGACCUCAGGUAUAAUUUCUUUCCACCUUCGUUUUGAGUCAGUCAAUAUUUUCUUCGCAUUUUGUAGUAUGGUCUUGUUUGUUGACUCUACUUGACUGUUUGCGCUCGGGUUGAUAAAAUCUUUUUGAUUUUGUGAUCUUCAAAGAACUUAUAGACCCUAUUUUUGAUGAAUUUACCCCAUUAUCACAUGUGAUUUUUGUUGGUAUCACAAACCGACAAAUUAUAUGAUCCAAGAUGAAGCUGAUAACAUCUUUUUCUCUAAUUUUCUCAAAUGCCUAUGCUUCAACCCACUUGGAGAAGCAAUCGUUCAUGAGCAAAAUGUACUGCGCCUUACCAGGUGUCUGUGGUAAAGGACCUACGAUAUCCAUUCCCUACUUCAUGAACGGACAAGGAAAAAGGACCGGGUGAAGCAUCUCUCCCAGUUGGUAGAUCAUUGGGGCAUGCCUUUGAUUUCUGUUUGCUUUUUAGAACAAAGGCUUUUGCAUUCUUCUCCAUUUCAUUCCAACAAUACCCAUCCCUGAUCAAUUUCCAAACAAACAAUUCUACUUCAUGAAUGGUUUCCUCAAGUCCCUCGUGGACUUCCUCCAUCACGUAACCGAUUUCCUGGGUACCGAAGCAUCUUACUACCAGUCCAAAAAAGACCUUUUGUACGGAUGACCUGGAAACGGUCCAAAAAAAGACCUUAAACCAAGCAAACCUGGAAAUUUUAGUUCGAAGGCCCCUUGACUCUUUAGGAUCCCACGGCAGUUUCCCCUUCUUAAGGUAGUCCACGUAUUUAUUUCGCCAAUCCCAACUCAAACUUGUUGAGUUCAACUUGGCAUGACCAGUCUCUAUUGCUAAGCUCAUCAAUGCACCACUGUUCCGGAGUUGAAUUCUUCGGAGUCCAUUGACGAUCCUAAAUUAGCCAAUGCAUCGGCCUUAAUGUUAAUAUCUCGAGGUACAUAUUGUAGCAUCCAUUCUUUGAACGAAUGUAAUGUUAUUUGUAAUUAUCCAAGUACCUACGCAUCCGAUCUUCUUUGACUUCGAAUGUUCCAUUGACCUGGUUAACAAUGAGGAGGGAAUAACAUUUGGCUUCGAUAACUUUAACCUCCAAGCUUUUAGCCAAUUCCAAACCUGCAACCAUACCCUCAAUUUUGGCUUCAUUUUUUGUCAAAUUCACACUUCUAUUUGAUUGUCUUAUUAUGCUACCUGUGGGGUGGAGGGGGGAGGGGGANNNNNNNNNNNNNNNNNNNNNNNNNNNNNNNNNNNNNNNNNNNNNNNNNNNNNNNNNNNNNNNNNNNNNNNNNNNNNNNNNNNNNNNNNNNNNNNNNNNNNNNNNNNNNNNNNNNNNNNNNNNNNNNNNNNNNNNNNNNNNNNNNNNNNNNNNNNNNNNNNNNNNNNNNNNNNNNNNNNNNNNNNNNNNNNNNNNNNNNNNNNNNNNNNNNNNNNNNNNNNNNNNNNNNNNNNNNNNNNNNNNNNNNNNNNNNNNNNNNNNNNNNNNNNNNNNNNNNNNNNNNNNNNNNNNNNNNNNNNNNNNNNNNNNNNNNNNNNNNNNNNNNNNNNNNNNNNNNNNNNNNNNNNNNNNNNNNNNNNNNNNNNNNNNNNNNNNNNNNNNNNNNNNNNNNNNNNNNNNNNNNNNNNNNNNNNNNNNNNNNNNNNNNNNNNNNNNNNNNNNNNNNNNNNNNNNNNNNNNNNNNNNNNNNNNNNNNNNNNNNNNNNNNNNNNNNNNNNNNNNNNNNNGGGCGGUAAGUACGAUACCCAACCCGGGCCCUGGCACAUUUGAGGCACUGUCCAUGAAUAGGGUCCAUACCCCAAGUUAGUCCUCAAGGCAAGUAAUAAUUCUUCAUCGACCUUGGGGAUCAUGGCCGGUGUAAAAUCAACCACGAAGUCUGCCCAUAUCUAGGAUUUCAUAGUUGUUUGAGAUUUGUAUUCAAUAUCGUACUUGCUAAUAUCUACAGUCUAUUUUGCAAGCCUAACUGAGAGAUUAGGUUUAUGCAUAACAUUCCUUAACAGGUAUGAGGUCACGACACAAAUAGGGUGGUACUGAAGAUAUGAUAUUAGUUUCCUAUAGCACUUAACAAGGUAAGCGCCCUUUUUUCUAGGUAUGGAUACCUUGUUUCGGCAUCGCCCAAAGUUCUACAAACAUAAUAUAUAGGAAACUAUAUACCUUCUUCUUCCCCAACCAAGACACUACUUACCGCUAUCUCGAACACUGCCAAGUAAAGGUAUAACUGCUCGUUCUUCUUCGGCGUGUGCAGUAAGGGAGGGCUCGAUAAGUAUUAUUUGAGUUCCUCCAAAUCUUUUUGGAACUUCGGGGUUCGGGAAUUUUUUUUUUCUUUAGUAACGAGAAAUAUCGGCAGCUUUUAUUCGUUGACCUGGAAAUGAAUCGGCCUAAAACGGCUAUUCGCCCGGUCAGCCUUUGCAUUGCUUUGGCGUUGUUAACCACGGUUAUACCUUCUAUGGCCUUUAUCUAAUUAGGGUUGAUUUCUAUUCCCCGACUAGAAACUGUGAACCUGAGGAACUUGCCGGAGCUAACUCCAAAGGCAUACUUCUCCGGGAUCAACUUUAUAUUAUAUUACCUUUGUAUGUCGAAGGUUUCCUACAAAUGCUUCAAACUAUUCUCCGCUCACAAAUAUUAUAUUGUCAAUGCAAAACUCCAUUGAUUUUCUUAUUUGUUCCUCGAACAUUCGGUUAACUAGGCUGAUAUAUGGCACCAACAUUUUUUUAACCCAAAUGGCAUUAUGUCAAAAACAAUAAGUGCCAAAAUUCAUAAUAAGAGUAGUUUUCUCUUGGUCCAUCGGGUCCAUCAUAUUUAUUCAUACCGGAAAUAGGCGCUGAUAAAGAUCAGCAUCUCGAGUCGUUGCAUCAAUCAUUCGGUCUAUGUUAGUCAAGGGAAACAAGUCCUUUGGGCAUGCCUUAUUCAAAUGCUUAUAAUCUACAAACAUUCUAAAUUUAUUUCCCUUUCUGGAUACGACGACUACGUUAACUAGCCAAUUUGGGUAUGUAACUUCCAUAAUGAUACCUAUUUUAUACCUCACCUUUGAUGAAUGGGUGUUUGACUUUGGACUGUGGCCUCCUCUUCUGUUUAAUCGGGUGGAAGUUUGGAUCCAAACUAAAUUUGUGAGUUGGUAUCUCUGGUGGGAUUCUUGUUAUAUCUAAGUGUGACCAGGCAAAACAAUCGCCAUUAGCUCUAAGAAAAUCAAUGAGUUUUUUCCUGAGCUUGGGGGUUAACCCCAUGCCCAGGGAUACCUUUCUAUCUAGCAGAUGCUCGGAUAAUAUGACUUGUUCAAGCUCCUCAAUUGUUGACUGGGUAGCAUCAGCUUAAUCAGGUUCUGUGUUGGAUCAGGGGACCCAACAUCCAUCUUCUUCAUCCGUUAGAUGUUCCUCCCAUUUUCCGACUCGGUCGAGGUCGAGACCUAUGAUUGUUAUUUGGUUCCUUGCUCUUCGAUCAGCCCCUUAUAUUUUGAUGUCGUGAUCGCGGGUACUGGGAUCACUUCUUCGACGGUGGACAUCGCCUUUGUGGUCGAUUGUUCCCCAUAGACCAUUUUGAUUCCUCCCAGUGUUGGAAAUUUUAAUGCUUAGUCCAAGGUCGAUGUCACUGCCCUCAAGCUGUGAAUCCAGAGUCUCCCGGAUAAGGUGUUGUACCUCAUGUCCCCCUCGAUCACAAAGAACUUUAUUUGUCGAGUGGUUCUGGUCAUUUUGACUGGGGGUGAUUUCAUCCUUCGUUGUCUCACAUGCCAUAUUGAACCCGUUCAAUACUCGAAUUGCUGGUACGAUGUGAUAAAAUAGCCCCAGUUGUUCCAUGACUCUCUGUCGAAAGAUGUUGGCUGAGCGACCAGGAUCAAUUAACACGCGAUUAUCUCAAGAUUUGUUAGUAGGUGCAGAUAUUACUAGUGCAUCAUUGUGAGCUUGAAUAAUGACCAACAUUGUCACUUAAUAAGAUGAAUUCUUCCGGAGCAUAAUCUCGAGUUCAUUUUUCUCUCGUGAUGGAGACUUUGGUGGAUUUUAUCAUUGGUCCUUGGGGAAUGUCUACUCGUCCUAUCAUCGUGUUAAUUACAUGUUGGGGUUCCUCCAACUCAACCUGCUUAUUGGUGUCCCUAUUCUUUAAAUGGUUUUUGGCCCGCUCAUUAGGAAUUCUCGAAGAUGCCCAUUAUUGAACAAACGAUCCACUUUUUCCGUUAACUUAUGACAAUCCUCGGUUCUAUACCAUGAUAUUUGCAUAUCAAAUGAAUGGAGUGAUCUCGGCCAUUCGAUCUCUUUGAUGCAACCGAUGGCUGAGUCUAUACUCACUACAUAUAUAUAGAAGUUAUAUUAUGAUAGCCUCGGGGCAUUUCUUACUUCGAGUGAUCCAUCGAACCUGUAUCUAUUCACCAACCCUUGAUUGCUUGGACCUUGAUCAUUUGUUCUGUCAUUCCUGGUUAGAUAGAGAUUGAGUCUGUUUCCCUUUUUAUAUGAGUUGUAAGGCUGUUAUCAAUCUCGGGGUGGCCUCGAAUCUUGAUCUAUUACACUUUUAGACUUGUCGUUUGCCAAUAUGGGAUAAACUAACCCCGAGGGGGUCCCAAAUUGUCUGUCCUUGACUUUGAUCUUUGACUGAUACUUGUUGUAGUCAUCGACCCAAGUAACCACUGGGUACUCUACAAAAUUUUACUUCAGUUUUUGAGACGCAACCGAACUUUGGGGGUUGACCCCUGAGUGAAUGCCUGAACGGCCCAAUCAUCUACAACCGAUGACAAUUUCAUCCUUUCCAUUUGCAAUAUCGAUAGGAAUUCACUAAGCAUCUCGUCAUCCCUCUAUUUAACUUUGAAUAAGUUUGAUUUUCUCGUCUUAACUAUAAUGGCACUAGCGUAAGCCUUGACAAAGGCAUAUGCAAGCAUAACAAACAAAUCAAUAAGGGUUUGAGGUAAAUUGUGAUACCAUAUCAUCUCUCCCUUGGAUAGGGUGUCCACGAAUUUCUUCAGCAAUACUCAUAUGAUCUCAUCACUUCGAGGUAGUUGCCUUUUAUUGUACAUGUGUAGGAAGUCACAUGAUCAUUUAGAUCUGUGGUCCUAUUGUAUUUGGGUAUAUCGGGCAUUUGAAACCUUUUUGGAAUUGGCUUUGGUGUCACGCUCAGGGGGAAAGGCUUCUGAAUAAAUGUUUUGGAAUCUGGAACCCCCUGGAUAUGAUCGACCCUCGAGUUGUAAUUUUGCGCUUUCUUAUUAUUUUCCUCUAUCUUCUUUUUUCGGAUUCUACUUAUUUUGUCAGUGCCUCGAGCAUUUCCAUUAUCUCGGAAGUUUCUCCGUGUCCGGACCUUUCGGGUUCUAUGACAAUUUUUUCUUCCCUCUAAGAGCCUUUUACAACCGGUACGGUGCAUCCGCAUCAUGUGCGUGAUUUUGACUCUGUAGUUUAUUUAUGACAACUUGCUGAGCUUGCAAAAUCUCAAAAAGAAAACGUAGACUAACUACAUCGCCUCCCCCUUCGAGAGCUUCGCGAGCCGAUGGCUGAGGUGCCCCGUGAUGAUGUUAUUGGGAAUAGUCAAUAGGUUGAUUUUGAUAGCAACUUGUGUAUUGGCAUCAACUGGAUCUAUGAUUGGAACUCCAUUAGGGUUGAUAUAGGGUACACUGUUACUUGGCACCACGUUGUUGUUUUCUUCGUGGUGGCCUGAUUCGACGUCAACACUUAAGUGAGCAUAUUGAGAAUCAGACAUAUUGCAUAGUCCUGAAAUCAAACUUCAAUGAACAAGUGUAAAAUAGAGUAUGUUAUCAAGAUUCGUAUUAAAUCACCAGUAUUAUCCUUAAGCACAUAGUGGGUGCCAAAUUGUUACCCUUAAAACAGAGAACAAUUAAAAAUUUAUAUGCAGUUUAAAAGAUAUGUAGUUUAAUUUAACACAAAUAAUUGAAGAACAGUAAAUGAUUUAAUUGAAAUGAGAAUAAAUGAUCAAAUCAAUGUGGCGAGGUAAUUAAGCAUUGUGUUAGAUUUAGAUACUAGCAGUAGGAUUCAAUCGAGCCCUCGAGAUAGAGCUCAGAUAUGGCUGAACGAAUGAACAUAUGAAGAACACUUAGACCAAUUGUUGAGAGUCAAAAUAAUUUUUAUUACUUUGAUAUGCGUACUAACAGUGUGACAAAAUAAAGGGAUCCUUCUCUUUAUAUGGUAGAGGAGUCUUACCCUAAUACAAGAUAUAUUUUUCUCCCACGAAAUUAUGAUCCGUAGUAAGUACCAAGCGUGAUCCGCGACGUAAUAUCCGACUUAUGGUGGAUAUUUCGGCUCCCCGUUUAUCUUCUUUAACUGCCUUUCCUUCAUUCCCGAUUCUUCAUCUCACUCGAGCUUAAUUUUGUCCGAGGUUGGACAUGCUCGAGACCCGAUGCAUCAUUCGUCCGCUCCUGGCUCCAAUCUGUAGGUAUCUUUGGUCUUACUCGGGCCUACAACAAGCAAUGUCGUUCCUUGCUUCACAACGGGAAAUCGGGGUAAUUCUACCCUCUAUUUUGCCUGUAUACAGCUUAAAUAAUUUGCAUCCUACUUUUUUUUUUAUUUUUUCUUACAAAACAAUAAAUAUAAAAUAGAAAACUACAAACAAGGAGAAAAAGAUACUCCUAUGAAAUAAAGAAAAAAGAAAUCUCAAAUUAAACAAAAAAACUUUUGUCUCUUUUCCCUCAAAACCAAGGUAUUACCAUCUUAGCUCAAUUUUUAACCAAGUGACAUUUUUUCUUUUUGAGCCUAAAUAUUAAGACAAGAAAAAAAAUACUAGAAAAAAAAACUUAGGAAUUAGAGAGGAUACAAACAUCAUUUCAUUCUUUACUUUUCCCUUUCUAUUAGGUUUACAUUAUUAUUGGCGAAAGUGAUCAAAUUCCAAAGGACAUAAACACAAUUGCAGUGAUACAGCCAAACUCUUUUAAUUUCUAUUUAUUAUUUCCUCUCUCUGUAUGGAAAAGAAACUCUUGCACAUAUGAACUAAUGAGAAUAGACAUUACGUCCAACACUUUAAUGCAGUGUAGGACACUAUAUAUAAAGUUUAGAUAUCUUUUAAUGGUGCAAGACAUUUUUAAGGAAAUAGACUUGACACAAAGCAUAUAAUAUCACAUUAUAUUAAGAGUUUUUGUAGGCUGGUUUAGCCCAACAAUUGAUAUUAAAAUCCAAGUUCGGCAGGACAAGUAUGGUGAUGACCGAGUAAUAGUAUGGGACUUGGUUUACCGAGUCUGGUGAUGGCCGAUUGAUGGUACGAGGCUCGAUUUACUUACCCAUUGCGAGCUUGGAUAUAUGCACAUACAACAAGAAACUAGUGGGUUUCGGUUGCCAUAAACACUCUAACGUAGGUGGAACACAAUGAAAUCUGGAAAAUUAACCCAUGGAUCAAGCUAGUUGCAGGUUUCCGUUGCCAAAUCCAAAUACUCUGAUGGUAUGGGUGGCAUGCAUGUGGAACUUAGUUUGAGGGAAAAAUUGUUGGGUAUGAGAACAAAGUCCUAAAUUGAUAGCCUAUGUUGCACGGACUCUCCAUAAUAUUGCCGCACCCGUGUCAGAUUCUCUAAAAAUACACUACUUUUGGAGUAUCCGACACGCACCCGGCGACAUUUUCGGAGAAUCCAAGCAACAUAGUUGAUAGCUGAAAAAAUUUUAAAAUUAUAUAUAAAAUGUAGGGGUCUCGUAAUUAUGCGAGAAAUUUUGAAAAAAUCGUGUGGACUUGACAUAAAGCGAAUAAUACCAUACCUUGGUAAGAGUAUUUGUGGGCUGGUUUACCCCGGGGAGAAACUUCUGAUCCAUGGUUACUCCAUGGUUAAUGUGUUUGAUAUACUUAAUUAAGACCACUAGAUGUAUUGCUCUAAGGUAUUUGGAUGCAAUACAUUUCCCCUAAAAGAAUUGAGAUAGUGAUCAGUGCAAGUGUCCUUACAAAUACAGAGAAGUCAGAUAAUGUAGCUGAAGAAAACUAAGUCAAAGAAAUAAAAGGAGAAACAUAAAGGUAACUAUGCCAGAGAGAUGCUUAAUUCUCCAUAACUAUUUUUCUAUGGCUAUAAAUACAUGGCUAACUAUCCAUAUAGUAAAAAAGAAGAGAGGUUUUACAUGAAGAGGAGAGUCAUAUUUGUUUAGUAGCCAAGGAUGACUUGCCUGCUCCAUUAUUUAAAAGGUGUUUUGUUUACACCAUUUAAUAUUGGUAGCCUUUUUUGCUUGGUUUCAGGCACUCUCCUUGGCUAUCUGGACAUGCUCUUCUCUUUCAUGCAAGACUUUUUCUUCUAUUAAUUUACCAUGAGAUCGA
rnacentral:lncRNA from 1 species